GGGGAAUUUUCCGCAAUGGGCGAAAGCCUGACGGAAGCAAGACCGCGUGAGGGAGGAAGGCUCUUGGGUUGUAAACCUCUUUUCUCAGGGAAGAAGCUCUGACGGUACCUGAGGAAUCAGCCUCGGCUAACUCCGUGCCAGCAGCCGCGGUAAUACGGAGGAGGCAAGCGUUAUCCGGAAUUAUUGGGCGUAAAGCGUCCGCAGGUGGCGAUUCAAGUCUGCUGUCAAAGCACGGGGCUUAACUCCGUUAAGGCAGUGGAAACUGAAUAGCUAGAGUGCCGUAGGGGUAGAGGGAAUUCCCGGUGUAGCGGUGAAAUGCGUAGAGAUCGGGAAGAACAUCGGUGGCGAAAGCGCUCUACUGGACGGCAACUGACACUCAGGGACGAAAGCUAGGGGAGCGAAUGGGGAUUAGGUUACCCCAGUAGUC
rnacentral:rRNA from 1 species